GAUGACUGCUUGAGCUGGCUGAUGUUGGCGAAGGAUGGUGAUGGCGGCUGCUGCUUGUGACGGCUGCUGAUAAUGUUGGCCACUGCUGGCGCUGGCAGCUGGUGGCGGCUGGUGCUGGCCAUGGCUGCUGGUGGCGACUGCUGACUGCUGGAAUAAGAGGAGACUGGAGGCUGUGGAAACUGCGGACGGUGUGCCGGGAAUGGAGUGGCCGAGUACAUCCAUGGCAACCAGUAAGGUGUUCGUUAGUGGCCUAGAUGGUAUGACCUUAGGUGAGGAGGUCUGCUGUGUGGAAAUCGCCUUCUUGGUCUGACUCUUGCUGCCAAGCUCAUGGCAUGAGGGAAGGUUGCUGUCCAGACUCAUGGCCUCUCUUUCCAGCUGUUCCACUACGUUGGAGGAUUCCAUAAGGGAAUCACUCGUCUGGGAACGGAAGAGGUGCUCCACGUGCUGCAGGAGAGUGAACAGCUCAUCGCAUGGCCGUGCACAUUGGCAUUCCUCACAGAGCGAGAAGCUGAUGACCCUCUUCGCUAUGUAUCCUGCCAGGUGGUAGAGGACACAAGACUCGGUCUUUGUGAGGUCAGGUGGGUCUACCAGCUGCUCCACUCUCACAACCUCAGAAGCACUGCAGUUGCUGUUCUUGUUGUCCAAGAAGUCCGCCAAGUGGUCUGAUGCAUCAUCCAGGUAACUGCCAGUAUGCGUUGUCGAGAGGAACUGCCCUACAGUGACAGCCCGUAGUGCAUAGUGGAACUCCACAGGUGUCGGGACUGAGUUCCUCUGACGUAUGCAAGAAAAAUUAUUUUUGUAGGCAGUCCAGAAUGAACUGGCUUGAAUGAACAUAUUUGUGCCCCUGUCU